GACGAACGCUGGCGGCGUGCCUAAUACAUGCAAGUCGAGCGAGCUUGCCUAGAUGAAUUUGGUGCUUGCACCAGAUGAAACUAGAUACAAGCGAGCGGCGGACGGGUGAGUAACACGUGGGUAACCUGCCCAAGAGACUGGGAUAACACCUGGAAACAGAUGCUAAUACCGGAUAACAACACUAGACGCAUGUCUAGAGUUUAAUAGAUGGUUCUGCUAUCACUCUUGGAUGGACCUGCGGUGCAUUAGCUAGUUGGUAAGGCAACGGCUUACCAAGGCAAUGAUGCAUAGCCGAAUUGAGAGACUGAUCGGCCACAUUGGAACUGAGACACGGCCCAAACUCCUACGGGAGGCAGCAGUAGGGAAUCUUCCACAAUGGACGCAAGUCUGAUGGAGCAACGCCGCGUGAGUGAAGAAGGGUUUCGGCUCGUAAAGCUCUGUUGGUAGUGAAGAAAGAUAGAGGUAGUAACUGGCCUUUAUUUGACGGUAAUUACUUAGAAAGUCACGGCUAACUACGUG
rnacentral:rRNA from 1 species